CUUAGGCACAAGUCACCUUUUGUAUCGUCCAGCAGGUGGAACAGACAGUGUUUUAAAUUGUGAAGCACGUGGGUUGCUCUUCAAAAUAAAUGCAUUUGGAAUCCCGCAGAGAAAAUUCUAACCAAGUUGGAACCAUCUAAAAUACAAAUUCAUUCAUUCAGCAAACACUGGUAUUCAUCACCCUGUUCCUGAGCAUUAUAAAUGGCCAGCUAACUUUAGUAAAUAUUCCACAGUGUGAUCUGCCAGACAAGGAGAGAGGAGAAGGAAGACAAAAGAGCAGGCUGCAGAUGUCCUUGGGGGACAGGAGAUGGUCUGCAGUGUUGUAUCUCCCAUCCAACUUGGCAUAGCCUUUUACAGCCCAGCACGGAGGCAGCCCUGGUCCUGGAUUGAAGACCAUCUGGAGUAGAGCCAUAGUCAAUCCAUGGUGGACAUGCAGCAUGAAUGAGAAACAAACCUGGAUGUGAUAAGCCACUGAUAUUUUGGGAUUGAUUGUUUCUGCAGCAAAACCUAGUCUAUCCUGACCAAUAUGCAUAAUAAAUGACAAAACUAGAAUUCAAA